UACAGAGGAUGCAAGCGUUAUCCGGAAUGAUUGGGCGUAAAGCGUCUGUAGGUGGCUUUUUAAGUCCGCCGUCAAAUCCCAGGGCUCAACUCUGGACAGGCGGUGGAAACUACCAAGCUGGAGUACGGUAGGGGCAGAGGGAAUUUACGGUGUAGCGGUGGAAAUUGCGUAGAUAUCAAGGAGGAACACCGAUGGCGAAGGCAGGUCGUCUGGGCCACUACUGACGCUGAGAAGCGAAAGCGUGGGGAGCGAACAGGAUAGAUACCC
rnacentral:rRNA from 1 species